UACAGAGGUGGCAAGCGUUGUUCGGAAUUACUGGGCGUAAAGGGCGCGUAGGCGGCUUGGUCAGUCCCGUGUGAAAUCCCUCGGCUCAACUGAGGAACUGCACGGGAAACUGCCUGGCUUGAGUUCGGGAGAGGGAAGCGGAAUUCCGGGUGUAGCGGUGGAAAUGCGUAGAUAUCCGGAGGAACACCGGUGGCGAAGGCGGCUCCUGGACCGACACUGACGCUGAGGCGCGAAAGCUAGGGGAGCAAACGG
rnacentral:rRNA from 1 species